UAAAGAUGCCCAAAGGGUUGAUAAUGUGGUACUAAAAAUGUUAAAUCUUGUGUUAAAUUUUAAAAUAAGAAAGAGACAGAGCAAUCACAAUGUCCAAUGUAACAAAAAUCAACAGGAAGAAAUUGAAGAUUAUGCUCAAUUACACAAAGACAACAAACUUCAACAUCAACGUUAAAAAAGAAGAAGAAGAAGCAAUCAAUGGCUUCAAAUUAAGGGAAAUAAUAUAAAAUAGUGUCUUGAUGUGGCGAAUGAAACCAAAAUAGCGGCGAAUAUACGAGUUUGAAGUUUGUAAAAAUGAACAAAUUAAAACCUAACCUUUAUUUGAUUAGCAAUGCAAUAGCAUUAGUUACGUGCCAAAUAACUUCACAUCAUUAGUAUUACAUUAUCCCUUUGGGUAUUUAAAAAUAGAGGGAUCAACAUUACAACAACAACAACAACAACAAGCCUUUAUCCCACUAGGUGGGGUCGGCUACAUGGAUUGCAAGACGCCAUUGUGCUCUAUCAUUUAUUAAGCUUUUAGAAAUAUUAUUAAUUAGGAGAUCACGUUCAACAACUUCCAAGAGUGUUCUCUUAGGCCUUCCUCUACCUCUCUUAAUCGGACUCAAAGUUAUAUAUUCUACUCUUCUCACUGGUGCCUCCCUUGGUCUUCUUUGUACAUGCCUAAACCAUCUCAACCGAUUUUCUACCAUUUUUUCCUCAAUAGGUGCCACCCUCACUUUUUCACGUAUGUGCUCAUUUCGAAUUUUAUCUUUACGUGUAUGUCCGCACAUCCAUCGUAACAUUCUCAUCUCUGCUACUCCAACUUUAUGUUCUUGCUGUCCCGUUAGAGCCCAGCAUUCACUACUAUAUAACAUUGCCGGUCUGAUAGCAGUACGAUAAAACUUUCCUUUAAGUUUAUUAGGCACCUUACGGUCACAAAUAACUCCUUUAGCUUUUCUCCAAUUAAACCAUCCAGCUUGAAUUCUAUGUGAAAUAUCUCCACUGAUUUCGCCAUCAUUUUGAAUAAUGGCUCCCAAAUAUCUAAACUUUUCCACUUGAGGUAUAAUUUGAUCUCCCAAUUUCACUUCCAAAUUAUUUUCGAAUAGUCCUUUAUCAAAUUUACAAUAUAAAUAUUCCGUCUUACUUCUACUCAGACGAAAACCUUUCGACUCCAAUGUCCUCCUCCAUAACUCAAGUUUGCAAUUAACCUCUUCUCUUGUCUCUGCUAUAAGAACUAGGGAUCAACAUUACAUACGAGAAAAAUAAUAGGGACCUAGAGCAACAAAAAAUAUAUCGACAAAAAAACACGAAGCCUCAUCCCACUUUGUAGGGUUGGCUGUAUGGAUUGCAUUAUGUCAUUAUAUUUUAUUAUUUACCAAGCUUUUAGGAAUAUUGUUAACUAAGAGGUCUUGAUCAACAAUUUUCUGAUUAGUGACUCGUCCAUGUAGAACUCAUGCAACCUUUGUUCGGUUUUUCUCAUCUUUGGUUAAUGUCAUGUUGAAUCAAUGCUUCUUCCCAGAGCAACACAAGGUUGACGUUGCACAUUCCAGAGGCACACGAAGGGGAGUUGCACGUCCCAGAGCCACUGGCGACCUCUUUCUCAUGGUCACGACCCAAUUUAGAGCUGCUCAAAGGCGACGCUUCUUGCUGUCCAGAAUCAUAUGUGCGUUUUUCUCUAGAGUUGCACUCUCCCCUGUCUUAGCCUUCAACUAUGGGCUUUGGUUCAGGUGCAGAGACUGACUUGAUUCUACACCCAUAUGGUAGAACUCCCCAAGGGUUGAGUGCUGCUGAAGGGUCUUCUUUUCUCCUCAUCUUAGACAAGUUUAAUGGUUGUAACUAUUGUAAAUAGGCCCAGGCAGUUUGGAUUGCUAUCAGAGGAAGAGGCAAGCUGAGUUUUAUCAUUGGCCACUUUGAGGCUCUAAACGCGUUAGACUUGAAGGCUGUUGAGAAGUGGCAGACUGAAAAAUCUAUAGUGGCUUCAUGGCUAAUUAACGCUAUGAAACCACAAAUUCAGCGCUCCUUCAUGUUUCUCACAACAGCGCGAGAUAUAUGGGAAGUAGUUAAGGAGUCAUAUUCAAAUGGUGGAUGGUGCCCGAGUCUUUGACCUUAAGACACGAAGUUGGCAGAUUAAACAAGGAGAUUAAGAGUUAACUGAAUUCUGGUUGGAGUUGGUUGCUAUUUGGCAAGAAAUUGAUCUCAACAUUGAAAAGGAAUGGUCAUGUGCCACUGAUGCAGUAAGGUACAAGCGUCGCAUUGAAGAUGAGUGAGUUUUUCAGUUCUUGGCUGGCCUUUAUCAAUCCUUGGAUGAUGUCCGUAGUUGUAUAUUAGCUCGCUCUCCUUUACCAUCUACUUGUGAUGCAUUUGUCGAAUUUUGCUGAGAGGCAUCUCAUCACAAGGUGAUGUUAUCUGCUCCUUCUAUUGUUCCUCCUCAAUCUGAAUCUGCUGCUUUAGUGAGCAAGCACUCUGAUCAAGGACAUAAGGAUGCAAAGGGGAAGAUUAGGUGUGACCAUUGUAAAAAGAUGGGCCACUGAAAAGACAAGUGUUGGGAUCUUCAUAGGAAACCUCUUGAUUGGAAACUUCGUAAAGGUAAAUCCCAACGUUACCAAGUUACCUUUGAUCCACGAGAAAUGUCUAGUCCAUUGCCUGCUAUUGAUAAAGACCAAUCAGAUAAACUUAUGGACAUGCUUCAGUGCUUGCAAUCUAGAUAGUUGCCUUCCCCUUCUCGUAAUGCUUCAGUAGCUAAGCAAGUGGCGUGAGAAAAUUGAUGCGGCCGAUGGCACUUCUUCAUCUAUUGCUGGAAAGGGAUCUGUCAUUGGGGAAGAUGAUUGACAAUGAUGAGGAGUGUGAUGGGCUCUACUACCUAAAUGAAUCAAUCGUGAGUAAACUCUGGUCUUGUUUUUGCUGCAACCUUGAGUCUACUUCUAAAAAUGUUAAUAUUUUAUUAUGGCAUAGAAGAAUGGGUCAUCCAAAUAUCCAAUAUUUGAUUCGCUUGUUUCCUAAAUCUUCAUCUUAUGAAAUUUAUAGUUUUCAUUGUGAUAUUUGUGAAUUAGCCAAACACCAUUGUUCUUCUUUUCCAUGCUUUGAGUAUAAACCCUCUUAACCUUUCUCUAUUGUUCAUAGUGAUGUGAGGGGUCCUUUGGGUGUUCCUAAUCGAACUCAUGCCAAGUGGAUUGUAACAUUCAUUGAUGAUCAUACCGAUGUAUGCGGGGUAUAUUUAUUGAAAGAUAAGUCUGACGUAACAUCUAUCUUUAUUGAAUUCUACACGAUGAUAUUAAAUCAAUUUCACACGUCCAUUCAAAUCCUCCAAACAGACAAUGGCACCGAAUAUGUUAACACAUCUUUGGGUGACUUCCUUAAGUCUAAGGGCAUUGUUCAUAAAACUUCCCGUGCUAACAGUCCCCAACAAAAUGAUGUGGCUGAAUGAAAGAAUAGACACUUACUUGAAGUUGCUCGUGCCCUUCUUUUCACCACAAAUGUUUCUAAAUACUUUUGGGGGGGAUGCCAUUCUUACUUAUACUUAUUUCAUUAAUCGCAUGCCCAUUAAAAUAUUAUCCCACUCUACCCCUCUUGAGUGCCUUUGUUAGACACACACUCUUUCUCAUCUUGAGACAACUCUUCCUUUAAAAAUUUUUAGGUGUUCUGCAUUUGUUUACCUUCACUCAUCUUCCAAACUUGAGCCUUAAGCUAUCGAAUGUGUGUUUCUUGGUUUCUCCUCAUCCCAAAAAGGCUAUAAGUGCUUUGAUCCUUCUUCAAAGCGUCUGUUUGUUAGUCAUGAUAUUUCUUUUUCUAAACACGAAUCUUUUUAUCCCUCUCCUUCAAUUUAGGGGGAGAACUGGAGUGAAUUUCAGUCAACCCUUGAUCGUGAUUGUGAGUAUUCUCUUGUAGAUUCUCUUGACCAUGGCCACCACCCUAACAUUACUUCUCUUGAGCUCUGUCUGUCUCUCUUAUGCAAGAAGAAAAAGAAAAUGCAAGUUCAGGGGGAGACAAGAACACAAGUACUAAAGGGAAAGAGAUCAAAGCUUACAAACGAAAGGUGAAACAUUGUGGAAUAGCCCUCAUACUUGAGAUAGUACCAGAAUCUAAACUGGUGGAAGAUUCUGGGGGAGAAAGUCUUGAAGAAGAGUAUGAGAAUAUUAAUGAAAACCCGGAGAGAGGGAAGAUUUCAUAAGACGACUUGGAACUGCCAAUUGCUCUUAGAAAGAAACCUUGAUCAUGUACACAACAUCCUAAUCAGAAAUAGCUAUCAUACGAAGCUUUAUCUCCGAAUUUUUGAGCUUUUAUUGCUAAUGUUGAUGAUGUUAGUACUCCUAAAAACAUCUAUGAAGUUCUUAAAACAACAGGAUGGAGAGAGGUUGUGUUAGAGGAAAUGAAAGCAUUAGAAGAAAAUGAGACAUGGGAUAUUGUGCAGAAGCCAAGGAACAAGAAACUAGUGAGUUGCAAAUGGGUAUUUACCCUAAAGUAUAAGGCUGAUGGGAGUCUCGAUAAGUUGAAGGCCUGAUUAGUGGCAAGAGGAUUCACACAAACUUAUGGCAUAGAUUAUCAAUAAACUUUUGCAGUAGUGGCAAAAUUGAACACUAUCAGGGUACUGUUGUCUAUAGCAGCCAAUCUGAAAUGGCCAUUACACUAAUUGGACAUAAAAAAUGCCUUCCUAAAUAGGGAAUUGAAAGAAGAAGUCUAUAUGUCUCUUCUUCCUGGUUUUGAUGAAGGGAGGGGUGACCAACUAUGCAAACUAAAGAAAUCAUUAUACGGUCUGAAGCAGUCCCCAAGAGCUUGGUUCGAUAGAUUCUCAAAGGUCUUAAAGUUACAAGGCUACAAACAAGGACUACCAUCAUUGUGAAAUGGGAAAUGUUUACCACUUAGUGUUUUGGUGAUUGUACUUUAUGACACUUCACUUGUUGAAUUGAUCAGAACCCUAUGUAGGUUGUCCUUUCGAAAAUUGUUGGCCAUUAGUUAUGAUACCAAUUGGUGGAUACUCAAGUGGGAUGGGAUCCUUCCCUUUGAAAGCUAACUAUUGAAAUGGAAGAACUAACCUGCUUAAAUAGCUCGUUGAGCAUCUUGUGCUACUCAAUGUGGGGCUUAGAUUGGUAUCUCAUUGAUGGAAGAACCCUCUAUUUUGAUUGUUCUUGUUUUAAUGCUUUAUUAUAUUAAAUUAAAAUACCACUUUCAAUAAUAUAUCUUAAACUGUUAUAUGCGAAUAAAAACAUUUUCCUUUGCUAUGCAAAUUGAGAACAUCCCAUUAAUUUGUCUAUUCCAGACUUUAGAUGGGUAGAAAAACAAUUUUUAGUUUUUAAUUGAAUUUAAUUUGAAACCAAUUCAAUGCUGAAUGCUGGACGCAAUUUGCCAUAAUAAACUUUGUUUGAGGGGCGAAUAUGUAAUUGGGAACUUUAUAAUUGAAUGACCUUAAGAUAUUGUGACAAUGUUUUUUGGCCAUCAAGAUACUGUGACAGCACGUCAUAAUUGGAUGGCCUUUUAAGAUAUUGUGACAAUUUGUUUUGGGCCUCAAGAUAUUGAGGCAAUUUAUUUAUUUUGGUAAGAAAGUGAGGGCACGUUUUCCAUAAAAUUGUAAUCAAGGAUUCAAUAUUACUUUAUUGUUCUGAAAAAUCUAGGAGGAAAUGCUUGCUUUUAUCUCAAUGUAAUAUGAUAUUUGGCUGUCUACUUGAUAGUUGAUACCCAGGAACUUA